GAUGAACGCUGGCGGCGUGCCUAAUACAUGCAAGUCGAGCGAACGGACGAGAAGCUUGCUUCUCUGAUGUUAGCGGCGGACGGGUGAGUAACACGUGGAUAACCUACCUAUAAGACUGGGAUAACUUCGGGAAACCGGAGCUAAUACCGGAUAAUAUUUUGAACCGCAUGGUUCAAAAGUGAAAGACGGUCUUGCUGUCACUUAUAGAUGGAUCCGCGCUGCAUUAGCUAGUUGGUAAGGUAACGGCUUACCAAGGCAACGAUGCAUAGCCGACCUGAGAGGGUGAUCGGCCACACUGGAGCUGAGACACGGUCCAGACGCCUACGGGAGGCAGCAGUAGGGAAUCUUCCGCAAUGGGCGAAAGCCUGACGGAGCAACGCCGCGUGAGUGGUGAAGGUCUUCGGAUCGUAAUACUCUGUUAUUAGGGAAGAACAUAUGUGUAAGUAACUGUGCACAGCUUGACGGUACCUAGUCAGAAAGCCACGGCUAACUACGUG
rnacentral:rRNA from 1 species